rnacentral:rRNA from 1 species
UCGGGAAUAUUGCGCAAUGGAGGAAACUCUGACGCAGUGACGCCGCGUAUAGGAAGAAGGUUUUCGGAUUGUAAACUAUUGUCGUUAGGGAAGAAAAAGACAGUACCUAAGGAGGAAGCUCCGGCUAACUACGUGCCAGCAGCCGCGGUAAUACGUAGGGAGCAAGCGUUAUCCGGAUUUAUUGGGUGUAAAGGGUGCGUAGACGGGCGAUCAAGUUAGUUGUGAAAUCCCUCGGCUCAACAGAGGAACUGCAACUAAAACUGGUUGUCUUGAGUGCAGGAGAGGUAAGUGGAAUUCCUAGUGUAGCGGUGAAAUGCGUAGAUAUUAGGAGGAACACCAGUGGCGAAGGCGACUUACUGGACUGUAACUGACGUUGAGGCACGAAAGUGUGGGGAGCAAACAGGAUUAGAUACCC